rnacentral:rRNA from 1 species
GCAGCAGUGGGGAAUAUUGCACAAUGGAGGAAACUCUGAUGCAGCGACGCCGCGUGAAUGAUGAAGGCCUUCGGGUUGUAAAGUUCUGUCCUUGGGGAAGAUAAUGACGGUACCCAAGGAGGAAGCCCCGGCUAACUACGUGCCAGCAGCCGCGGUAAUACGUAGGGGGCGAGCGUUGUCCGGAAUUAUUGGGCGUAAAGGGUUCGCAGGCGGUCUGAUAAGUCAGAUGUGAAAGGCGUAGGCUCAACCUACGUAAGCAUUUGAAACUGUCAGACUUGAGUUAAGGAGAGGAAAGUGGAAUUCCUAGUGUAGCGGUGAAAUGCGUAGAUAUUAGGAGGAAUACCAGUGGCGAAGGCGACUUUCUGGACUUAUACUGACGCUGAGGAACGAAAGCGUGGGGAGCAAACAGGAUUAGAUACCCUGGUAGUCCACGCCGUAAACGAUGAGUGCUAGGUGUUGGGGGUCAAACCUCGGUGCCGCAGCUAACGCAUUAAGCACUCCGCCUGGGGAGUACGUACGCAAGUAUGAAACUCAAAGGAAUUGACGG